rnacentral:rRNA from 1 species
UUAGAGGAAGUAAAAGUCGUAACAAGGUUUCCGUAGGUGAACCUGCGGAAGGAUCAUUAUUGAAUUAUAAGGCUUUGAUUGUGCUGGCCUCUCGGGGCAUGUGCACGUCUCUGCCCGUUAAUCCCAACCCACCCCUGUGAACCGACCGUGUGAGGCGCUCUGUAACGGAGCCGUCUCAUGCUUUAUCAUAAACACCGUAUGUCUUUGAAUGUAAAAUCUAUAUCUUCGCCUUAAAACCGCGUCGGUAAAAAAAAGUUAAUAUAACUUUCAACAACGGAUCUCUUGGCUCUAGCAUCGAUGAAGAACGCAGCGAAAUGCGAUAAGUAAUGUGAAUUGCAGAUUUUCAGUGAAUCAUCGAAUCUUUGAACGCACCUUGCGCUCCCUGGUAUUCCGGGGAGCAUGCCUGUUUGAGUGUCAUUAAAUUCUCAACCCCGAUCGGAUUUGUUUUCGCAUUCGGAGGCUUGGAUCGUGGAGCGUGCUGGCCCCCUCUCAUGGGUCGGCUCCUCUUAAACGCAUUCGCGGAAUCGACUUUGGUCCGUUUCGGUCAUCAGUGUGAUAAAUGUUGCGCUGUUGGCUAGGAUCGAGGUGCCGCAUACAAUCGUCUUCGGACAACUUUAUGACCAUUUGGCCUCAAAUCAGGUAGGACUACCCGCUGAACUUAAGCAUAUCAAUA